CCUACGGGACGCAGCAGUGGGGAAUAUUGCACAAUGGGCGCAAGCCUGAUGCAGCCAUGCCGCGUGUGUGAGGAAGGCCUUCGGGUUGUAAAGCACUUUCAGCGAGGAGGAAGGUGGUGAACUUAAUACGUUCAUCAAUUGACGUUACUCGCAGAAGAAGCACCGGCUAACUCCGUGCCAGCAGCCGCGGUAAUACGGAGGGUGCAAGCGUUAAUCGGAAUUACUGGGCGUAAAGCGCACGCAGGCGGUUUGUUAAGUUAGAUGUGAAAUCCCCGGGCUCAACCUGGGAACUGCAUAUGAAACUGGCAAGCUAGAGUCUCGUAGAGGGGGGUAGGAUUCCAGGUGUAGCGGUGAAAUGCGUAGAGAUCUGGAGGAAUACCGGUGGCGAAGGCGGCCCCCUGGACGAAGACUGACGCUCAGGUGCGAAAGCGUGGGGAGCAAACAGGAUUAGAUACCCCAGUAGUC
rnacentral:rRNA from 1 species